GACGAACGCUGGCGGCGUGCCUAAUACAUGCAAGUAGAACGCUGAAGGAGGAGCUUGCUUCUCUGGAUGAGUUGCGAACGGGUGAGUAACGCGUAGGUAACCUGCCUGGUAGCGGGGGAUAACUAUUGGAAACGAUAGCUAAUACCGCAUAACAGUAGAUAUCGCAUGAUAUCUACUUGAAAGGUGCAAUUGCAUCACCACCAGAUGGACCUGCGUUGUAUUAGCUAGUUGGUGAGGUAACGGCUCACCAAGGCGACGAUACAUAGCCGACCUGAGAGGGUGAUCGGCCACACUGGGACUGAGACACGGCCCAGACUCCUACGGGAGGCAGCAGUAGGGAAUCUUCGGCAAUGGACGGAAGUCUGACCGAGCAACGCCGCGUGAGUGAAGAAGGUUUUCGGAUCGUAAAGCUCUGUUGUAAGAGAAGAACGAGUGUGAGAGUGGAAAGUUCACACUGUGACGGUAUCUUACCAGAAAGGGACGGCUAACUACGUG
rnacentral:rRNA from 1 species